GGAUGUGAGGGCAAUCUGGCUACAACAUCUGUUACCCCAUUGAUCACCAUGGUUGACUUGGCUGAUCUGGCUGGCUAGGAAGGUAUCUUCUUGCUCCUCAUUGUUCCAUGUCUGUCCCUCCCAAAGCUGUGUGCUCAAUUGAGGACACUCAUCACCACUGGAAGGAAGACUAUUCUUUAGUCAAGGGUAUAUGAGUAGCUGUGCUCCCCUGCUAGAUUCUCCAAACAAGCUCUCAAUAUGUCAUCCAAGAGAAACUUUCCUGUCUCACUAGAGAGGUAACCAUGCAGACACAAGAAAUUAGAGAACUUCUUGGAGGAUUUACACAAGAAGAUCAUCCAUGAGG
rnacentral:snRNA from 1 species